ACAGUUUCAUUCAGUUUCCUCAUGGAUAUCCUACUGCAAAGGAAUUUGAUCCUAAACUAAGUGUUGGUUUAAAAAAAAUUAAAAGUGAUACAAUGGACUCCUGCAAUGUAGAAGAAUGACUGGCCAGAAAUGAACUAUAAGUGCUCUGCACAGGCAAUACAAAUAUUGAUAACUUUAGUGACAUAACAAGAAAACAGGACAAAGAAGCCUCUGGACCCACUCUGAGGGGCUGACCUAGGGAUUUCUGCCAGAAGUUUGUUUUUAUAACGAUACAGGGAAGAUGGCUCACUAUUCACUGUAGAAGUCUGCAAUUACUUCAGUUUCAUUCUGGCUUUAGAGAUAUCCCAGCCUCAUCAACAGAAUUUCAAAUUUUGCUCUUGUUCACCACACUGCUUUCACUUAUUUUCAUCUUAGUGUCGUCAAAAAACUUUCAAAGUGUAUUCCUUACUCUGUCACCUGCACCAUCCACCUAUGAAAUAGCAAUGGCUUUAGAGAUGUUCAAAGUGACCUGCUACUGCACCCUCUUAGAUUAACAGUCCAGUUGCCAUUCACGUUUGUUAAUUACCUUCAGAGGGAUUUGGUUUGUGUUGGUUUACCUUUAAUGAACAUUGUCUUUAUGAUAAAUUAGAUAGAUGCAUUUUUACUGAUUAUCUUCAAACAUGUGACAGACAAUGACAAAGUAUUAUAGAAGAAAGAUCCAUGACUAUUUGGCGGGAAAACCUCCUCCUACACUUUCCUUCUGACCCCUUGCUCUUUUUGUAGUUGGUUUUUGUUAUAUCUAUUUGGUAAAAAAAAAUUAAAUGCAAAUGUAUUCCUUUCUUCUUUAAUUAUCUGUUCUUGUAAUUACUCUUCACUUAAAACCUUUAUUACCUUGUCUUUAUCUUGUCUAUGAAACUGAUUUGUUAAUUUUUAAAUAAAAAAGUGAUCUGUUUACUUAUUUUCUGCUUUCCUUCCUCUCUUCAAGCACUAACAAAGG